AAUAGAUACCCUGGUAGUCCACACCGUAAACGUUGGGCGCUAGGUGUGGGACUCAUUCCACGAGUCCCGUGCCGCAGCUAACGCAUUAAGCGCCCCGCCUGGGGAGUACGGCCGCAAGGCUAAAACUCAAAGGAAUUGACGGGGGCCCGCACAAGCGGCGGAGCAUGCGGAUUAAUUCGAUGCAACGCGAAGAACCUUACCUGGGUUUGACAUAUGGAGAAAUCUCCCAGAGAUGGGAGGUCCGUAAGGGCUCUAUACAGGUGGUGCAUGGCUGUUGUCAGCUCGUGUCGUGAGAUGUUGGGUUAAGUCCCGCAACGAGCGCAACCCGUCGUCUUAUGUUGCCAGCACGUAAUGGUGGGGACUCAUAAGAGACUGCCGGGGUCAACUCGGAGGAAGGUGGGGAUGACGUCAAGUCAUCAUGCCCCUUAUGUCUUGGGCUGCACACGUGCUACAAUGGCCGGUACAAUGAGCUGCGAUACCGCAAGGUGGAGCGAAUCUCAAAAAGCCGGUCUCAGUUCGGAGUU
rnacentral:rRNA from 1 species